rnacentral:rRNA from 1 species
CGGACGGGUGAGUAAUGUCUGGGAAACUGCCUGAUGGAGGGGGAUAACUACUGGAAACGGUAGCUAAUACCGCAUAACGUCGCAAGACCAAAGUGGGGGACCUUCGGGCCUCACGCCAUCGGAUGUGCCCAGAUGGGAUUAGCUAGUAGGUGGGGUAAUGGCUCACCUAGGCGACGAUCCCUAGCUGGUCUGAGAGGAUGACCAGCCACACUGGAACUGAGACACGGUCCAGACUCCUACGGGAGGCAGCAGUGGGGAAUAUUGCACAAUGGGCGCAAGCCUGAUGCAGCCAUGCCGCGUGUGUGAAGAAGGCCUUCGGGUUGUAAAGCACUUUCAGCGAGGAGGAAGG